UACGGGGGGUGCAAGCGUUAUCCGGAUUCACUGGGUUUAAAGGGUGCGUAGGAGGGCAGGUAAGUCCGUGGUGAAAUCUCUGAGCUUAACUCAGAAACUGCCGUGGAUACUACCGGUCUUGAAUACCGUGGAGGUGAGCGGAAUAUGUCAUGUAGCGGUGAAAUGCUUAGAUAUGACAUAGAACACCAAUUGCGAAGGCAGCUCACUACCCGAAUAUUGACUCUGAGGCACGAAAGCGUGGGGAUCAAACAGG
rnacentral:rRNA from 1 species